GUUCACGAACAAUUAUUAUUGAGCUUGUUAUUAAGUACAUGCUACAAGAAGAAAUACGAAUGACGGUUGGAAAUGCUAAACAAAUAGCAGACAAAAUUGGGAACCUUUUUAAGACGGAGUAUUUGGGGUAUUAUUAUACCAAACAAAGCGGUAAAAAGCCUCAGGGGAAGAUCUUUGAUAAAUAUUAUAAUUCUACACGACUUCUCAAGAAGAGUGGUAUUUUACAAAAAAGAUCUUACUCAGCCUUGUCUCCAGGAGCACAGCACAAACGAGUUUUUAACCUUGGUACCAAAGUGAUGUGGUCAAUUUAGAUGAACCAGAAUCCGAUGUUUCCGAGCACAUUGAAUAAAUUAUAAGGGACAAUUGUACUUGGGCGGAAAUGGAAAGGCAUUGGGAUGCUUCAAAAAGCUUUAGACUAGUUGAUAUCACAAAAGCCGAAUCAACAGUGGAUAUCCUAGCCAAAUGGAAGCAGUAUAAGAACCCGAUUGGCUUUAAAUUGAUCAAUAUGGAUUUCAAACACCUAUAACCUAAAGAUGAGAGUUUAUCAUUAAAAUAUGAUGAUUUUUCUGUAAAAA